UCAAAGCUUUCGCGUCCGCCGCAACACUACCUAACGGGAAAAGCGGAAGAACCUUACUGAGUGUAAGACGACAGAAGAGACGACAACGACGAAACAAAAAGCACAGAAAAGGAGACCAAAAGUGUUUGUUGUUUGGUGUUAUCAGUGGAUGCAAGUGGACGACAUCUUGUCCUGUGAUUGAGUACUGGAGAGUGGACCGGUUGCGGAGGAGGAGCUUGUCAGCAGCACAGGUGGCUGGUAAAUAAAGCCGGUUCAAUAGACUCUGACCCGACGCAUAAAUGUAACUUUAAGGGAUAGUCCAUCUCUCUCUUUUUGCGGAUGUGUGUGUGUGUGUGUGUGUGUGCUUUAGUGCUCAAUUAAAAAUCGCAAGGAAACAAAAACAAAAAUUUCUGUCCUGUCCCUUUGGGGCUUCCCAAAAGGGGAAAAGAAAGCGGGAUCGGACCGACCGAGGGCUGUUGAAUUUUUUAAGCCAAUUAAAUUUCAAAAAACCAAAAAUGAAAGCAAAGUGAAAUGAAACGAAAUGAAACGGAAAAUGGCCGCCUAAUGGACUCUGUCAGUCUUUUAACCUGAGGGAAACACCAGCAAAAACAACAGCGACGGCACCAGCCGCUGUGGCAAUUAAAAACUCCUCACCACAGUCCAGCUGGAAAACGGAGAAAGUACCGCAAUAACAGCGGCGGGGCAUAAUUAACGACAAAAGCGGAAA
rnacentral:sRNA from 1 species